rnacentral:lncRNA from 1 species
AGAACGGACCCGUAAGGUUAGUGGUGUGGUUGCAGUCCAUUGGGCAUAGCCGGCGCCAAACCGCCGGAGUCUAUGGCCUGAUCGGGUUGUUGGUUACACCCAUUUCCACUUUCUGAUUACUUAUCUUAUAUCUUAUGUGAUUGUGGUAUAGUCUGAUGGAUCAAACACUAUGGUACUGAACCAUGGCCUUGGCCGGUUCAGAAAUAAAGCCCUUGGCCUUGGCUGGGCUGAUCAUGAUCAAGAUCUAUAUGGUCUGGAUCGAUUCUUUGGAAUCUGAUUAUGGGAAUCUCUUAGUUGAGAAUUAUCAUGAGUUUUAGUGAAUUUUAUUUAGUUUUUAGAUCACUUUUGAAAUCGGCCAGAUUUGGGUCUAAAGAAAAAUUAAAUGAUUAGUUAUGGCUCCAGCCAUGGAAAGAUGUGUGGUGAUUGGGUCAUUGUUGAUAAGUGUGAAGUAUUGAUAGUCUAUUGUGCAACUUGUGAACUUAUGAUUGAUUAAGUAUGUAAUCUAGUAGAAUGAACGAUUGAAUGCUGUAUGGACCUUAUUUAUUAUCUAUGAAAGAGACGAUUUGCCUUUACUUGAAUCUGAUUGUCUAAGUAUGAAAUGAUAAACCCCAACUCUGAUAAAUUAUAAAGAAAAAUAUUCACUUGAAUUGAGAAGUAAAGGAAUCGAACUAGAUAGAAAUGGUUAGGUAAGCCGCGGUCUGGUUGGAUUGAGGAAUCCAGGAUCGGGUCUUACA